GUUCGCGUCUGCUGUGAAAUCCCGAGGCUCAACCUCGGGUCUGCAGUGGGUACGGGCAGACUAGAGUGCGGUAGGGGAGAUUGGAAUUCCUGGUGUAGCGGUGGAAUGCGCAGAUAUCAGGAGGAACACCGAUGGCGAAGGCAGAUCUCUGGGCCGUUACUGACGCUGAGGAGCGAAAGGGUGGGGAGCAAACAGGCUUAGAUACCCUGGUAGUCCACCCCGUAAACGUUGGGAACUAGUUGUGGGGUCCAUUCCACGGAUUCCGUGACGCAGCUAACGCAUUAAGUUCCCCGCCUGGGGAGUACGGCCGCAAGGCUAAAACUCAAAGGAAUUGACGGGGACCCGCACAAGCGGCGGAGCAUGCGGAUUAAUUCGAUGCAACGCGAAGAACCUUACCAAGGCUUGACAUACACCAGAACGCCCUAGAAAUAGGGAACUCUUUGGACACUGGUGAACAGGUGGUGCAUGGUUGUCGUCAGCUCGUGUCGUGAGAUGUUGGGUUAAGUCCCGCAACGAGCGCAACCCUCGUUCUAUGUUGCCAGCACGUAAUGGUGGGAACUCAUGGGAUACUGCCGGGGUCAACUCGGAGGAAGGUGGGGAUGACGUCAAAUCAUCAUGCCCCUUAUGUCUUGGGCUUCACGCAUGCUACAAUGGCCGGUACAAAGGGCUGCAAUACCGUGAGGUGGAGCGAAUCCCAAAAAGCCGGUCCCAGUUCGGAUUGAGGUCUGCAACUC
rnacentral:rRNA from 1 species